rnacentral:rRNA from 1 species
GGCGGGUAGCGUCCCCUGAAAAGGACGCCUCCCGGCCCCGGACGGACCCCCGCGGGGCCGGACUCGGCGCCCGCCGGAGGAUAACCAAACGCUAUUUUAACGACGUUUCUUCUGAGUGGCAUAAGCAAAAUAAUCAAAACUUUUAACAACGGAUCUCUUGGUUCUGGCAUCGAUGAAGAACGCAGCGAAAUGCGAUAAGUAAUGUGAAUUGCAGAAUUCAGUGAAUCAUCGAAUCUUUGAACGCACAUUGCGCCCGCCAGCAUUCUGGCGGGCAUGCCUGUUCGAGCGUCAUUUCAACCCUCAAGCUCUGCUUGGUGUUGGGGCUCUACGGUCGACGUAGGCCCUCAAAGGUAGUGGCGGACCCUCCCGGAGCCUCCUUUGCGUAGUAACAUUUCGUCUCGCACUGGGAUCCGGAGGGACUCUUGCCGUAAAAACCCCCAAUUUUUCAAGGUUGACCUCGGAUCAGGUAGAAUACCGCUGAACUUAAGCAUAUCAAUAAGCGGAGGA